rnacentral:rRNA from 1 species
CAGCCGCCACGGGAAUACAGAGGGUGCGAGCGUUAAUCGGAUUUACUGGGAGUAAAGCGUGCGUAGGCGGCUUUUUAAGUCGGAUGUGAAAUCCCUGAGCUUAACUUAGGAAUUGCAUUCGAUACUGGGAAGCUAGAGUAUGGGAGAGGAUGGUAGAAUUCCAGGUGUAGCGGUGAAAUGCGUAGAGAUCUGGAGGAAUACCGAUGGCGAAGGCAGCCAUCUGGCCUAAUACUGACGCUGAGGUACGAAAGCAUGGGGAGCAAACAGGAUUAGAGACCCCUGUAGUCCCUGUCUCUUAUAC